AUUGAACGCUGGCGGCAUGCCUUACACAUGCAAGUCGAACGGCAGCACGGGUGCUUGCACCUGGUGGCGAGUGGCGAACGGGUGAGUAAUACGUCGGAACAUGUCCUGUAGUGGGGGAUAGCCCGGCGAAAGCCGGAUUAAUACCGCAUACGAUCUACGGAUGAAAGCGGGGACCUUCGGGCCUCGCGCUAUAGGGUUGGCCGAUGGCUGAUUAGCUAGUUGGUGGGGUAAAGGCCUACCAAGGCGACGAUCAGUAGCUGGUCUGAGAGGACGACCAGCCACACGGGGACUGAGACACGGCCCAGACUCCUACGGGAGGCAGCGGUGGGGAAUUUGGGACAAGGGGCGAAAGCCUGAUCCAGCAAGGCCGCGUGGGUGAAGAAGGCCUUCGGGUUGUAAAGCACUUUUGUCCGGAAAGAAAUCCUUGGCCCUAAUACGGUCGGGGGAUGACGGUACCGGAAGAAUAAGCCCCGGCUAACUACGU
rnacentral:rRNA from 1 species